GCAUUGUGACUCAGUUGGUAGAGCAUGAGGCUCCUAAUCUCACGGUUGUGGGUUCAAGCCUCACAUUGGGCA